ACGAUGAUGCCCAGCUUGCUGGGCGGAUUAGUGGCGAACGGGUGAGUAACACGUGAGUAACCUGCCCCUGACUCUGGGAUAAGCGUUGGAAACGACGUCUAAUACUGGAUAUGAUCACCGGCCGCAUGGUCUGGUGGUGGAAAGAUUUUUUGGUUGGGGAUGGACUCGCGGCCUAUCAGCUUGUUGGUGAGGUAAUGGCUCACCAAGGCGACGACGGGUAGCCGGCCUGAGAGGGUGACCGGCCACACUGGGACUGAGACACGGCCCAGACUCCUACGGGAGGCAGCAGUGGGGAAUAUUGCACAAUGGGCGAAAGCCUGAUGCAGCAACGCCGCGUGAGGGAUGACGGCCUUCGGGUUGUAAACCUCUUUUAGUAGGGAAGAAGCGAAAGUGACGGUACCUGCAGAAAAAGCACCGGCUAACUACGUGCCAGCAGCCGCGGUAAUACGUAGGGUGCAAGCGUUGUCCGGAAUUAUUGGGCGUAAAGAGCUCGUAGGCGGUUUGUCGCGUCUGCUGUGAAAUCCCGAGGCUCAACCUCGGGCUUGCAGUGGGUACGGGCAGACUAGAGUGCGGUAGGGGAGAUUGGAAUUCCUGGUGUAGCGGUGGAAUGCGCAGAUAUCAGGAGGAACACCGAUGGCGAAGGCAGAUCUCUGGGCCGUAACUGACGCUGAGGAGCGAAAGCAUGGGGAGCGAACAGGAUUAGAUACCCUGGUAGUCCAUGCCGUAAACGUUGGGCGCUAGAUGUAGGGACCUUUCCACGGUUUCUGUGUCGUAGCUAACGCAUUAAGCGCCCCGCCUGGGGAGUACGGCCGCAAGGCUAAAACUCAAAGGAAUUGACGGGGGCCCGCACAAGCGGCGGAGCAUGCGGAUUAAUUCGAUGCAACGCGAAGAACCUUACCAAGGCUUGACAUACACCGGAAACGGCCAGAGAUGGUCGCCCCCUUGUGGUCGGUGUACAGGUGGUGCAUGGUUGUCGUCAGCUCGUGUCGUGAGAUGUUGGGUUAAGUCCCGCAACGAGCGCAACCCUCGUUCUAUGUUGCCAGCGGGUUAUGCCGGGGACUCAUAGGAGACUGCCGGGGUCAACUCGGAGGAAGGUGGGGAUGACGUCAAAUCAUCAUGCCCCUUAUGUCUUGGGCUUCACGCAUGCUACAAUGGCCGGUACAAAGGGCUGCGAUACCGUAAGGUGGAGCGAAUCCCAAAAAGCCGGUCUCAGUUCGGAUUGAGGUCUGCAACUCGACCUCAUGAAGUCGGUGUCGCUAGUAAUCGCAGAUCAGCAA
rnacentral:rRNA from 1 species